CCAUAGGUCGACGAAUUCAAUCCAUGUCUUGCGUCGUCGUCGUUCUCUCUCCUCCGUCUCGCCAUACCUCCCACGCGGAUUUGCGUGAUCUCCUGGCGUGGUACUGCCUCUGGGCGGUUUCCCGCGGCAGGGAGGCGCGACACCUCGCGCUGCCCAUGUUCCUCUCUCGCUCUCACCAUAACGUCACCGGCCCCCUCUCCCCUCCUUCCACCCAGCGGCUGCUCUUCUCCUCCUCAUGGCUGCCUCACCUGCGUUGCCUCACCUCUCGCGGUGCCUCCUUGGCUCAUCCGCUGGGCGACCUCCAUAACCCUCUCGACCCUCCUUCCCUGCCCCCUUGGCGUGCAUGAUGGACACGACUGCUAGCGGAAGGCUGCUCAGCCUGCAUAUGGCGCCCCCAAUCCCCCACGUGCUUCCCCUAGCGGACCACAUCAGCCAGCGUCACGUAGAGGACUGGAGGAAAGGUCAUACUGGUUUUGAGUUCUCUCCUGUGAAAUGUCUUAGUUGGAUCAAGAUGGUUUUAGACUUUUAGGAGGAAUUCAUAGGUAGGUUUAUGUUUUGGAUGUAAAGGUACAUGUAUAUGCUAUAUGAUUGUAGUGAGCUUGCUGUUUUGUUUGGGAGUUGAUUGGUUCACUCUUUUCCUUUCA